ACUGUUAUUAUUAUGUAAAGUCCUGAACACAGAGGAAUUGACAGCGAGGAAAAGGAGGUAUGCUAGUAAGAAUCCAAUUUAUCUUUUCCAGAGCUUCAUUCUCAAUAACCACCUAACCCAAUCAGUGCUAAAUCACCAUCAGGAUAAAAUCUAAAACAACAAAACAGAAGAAUAUCAGUAUAAAUAUUAAAAAGCUUCAAACUCCCAUCUGGCCUUUUGUUCAGUGCAACUAAGUGUCCUAAUCAGCAGCAAGAAAGAUGGCAAAUACAACUACAAAACACCACAUGAUAUUGGGAAGAUGUUAAGCAAUGUAUUUGAUGUCCUUCAAAAACUAUCUUUAUAAUGAAACAAGAGAAACCAUGAUUAACUAUCAAAUUCAACUUGCUGCACAGCAUAACAAAACUACAGUGGAAUAAAGAAUAAGGAGAAUUUUGAGUCAUGUCUUGUACAAUUGAAAUUUAAGAGCAAGGUUGCUUCUGUACCCCUAUACAGACUUGGCGCUGUGCCUCCACAUUAGCUGCCAGAAAGAUGACGAAUGACAAUCAAAGAAAUCACCAGGAGACAAUGGCCUCUAUAAGGCCCACAUGCUUAUUUGUUCUGAAUUAAAAUGCUCAAACUUCA